rnacentral:lncRNA from 10 species
CCACCCAAACCCUCCUGGGCCCCUUGAAUCCUCUUCUCUGUCCCAGCCCAUACCAGAGGCUCAUUCAUCCUUCAUGCAGUUAAUAGGGUGCGUUGGAGCCUCACUCUGUGCACCCUGGUCCAGGAAUAUCUGCCCUGUUUGCAUAUCUGGAGCCUUCAAUGCAGCCAACACUGGCUCACUCUGAGAGGUGAGAGAAUCACUGCUGUGCCCCGGCCCAAGUGGAGGAGGGUGGGGAAGGGAGGGCAGGACCCAGGGAGAUUUCAUGCAGCGGUGAACAUUUAAAUUUAAUGAUCCUCCUCAGUUUUGAAGUCCAUUGGCCAGGAGUCUGUGUAUUGUUUUUGUAAGUGUGUGUGCUAUGUUGUAGGAGGAAGGAAUAUGACUUUCCUCAGACUUACACUCUUGCUGCUGCUAUCUGUCUUUGAAAAUGGGGACAAAAUUGAUUAUUUUCUUUAUCCUUGUUUGCAUCAAUCACCCAGGCCAUCGUCAUCUCUUGCACUGUAAUUUUGAUAUGGCUUUUUGCAUCUUCUGCUCCAAUUCCAUCCACUCCUCUCCACCUCCAGGGGCUCUUUCAGGGUGUCUCUGGAAUGCUUGGUUCAUCCUCAGCAUGUUUCUGCACCUCUUUAACCCUUCCCUUCACCCUCCUGCUCUUACUGAAACCUGGCUCUGCCUGAGAAUACUGCUUUAUCUCAGUCCUUUCCAGGGGUGGCUGUCUUUUUUCCU